GGGGGGCACUGCACAGCAUGCCCAUGGUGACGAGGAAACAGCUGACGCAGGCAACAACGGCAUAGACCAACAUCUGAAGGAUGACAGUGGAAAAAGUUUGGACACCCCUGCCAUAUGGUCUCCACAUCAAAGGUCCAUUUCCCUACGAAGACCAUGCAUCCUGCCCAUCAACCAAUGGCCUCACCAGCCAAGUUUGAUCACUCUAUGGAGGCUGUACACCCCUCCCAUCCCCACACCGCUGGCCCAUCACCAAAUGUCCACACCUAUGGUCCUUCACCCGGCGUACACAAUAGCUUGCUACCUGAAUCCACCUGAGAAUAAAAAGGCAGCUUUCCUGGCACCAGACAGGAGAGAUGCAGGCAACCCAUCUAUUGAGGACACUAUCUGUUAUCAACCACAGGCAGAAAAAUCAUGGACGCCAUGUGAUGGAAAAAAUGUGGGCAGAAAAAGAAGGAAUUGAAGAAGUCCUCUUGAAAAUAGAUCCGGUCCAAGUCAGAGUACUUCAAACUCUCUGCGACUUGGUUGGAGACAAAUACAGCGACGGCCCUCCUCAACAAUCGGGCCAGCAAGAGCUCUUUCCUGAGAGCGGCGUAUUCAUAUCAUUGUUCCGCCUUGCUGCCAUGAGACAUGCUGCAGAGCCCAAAUGUAGGCCUUUAUUUGGACCUCUUUUUUCUACGUGUCAAAAUGCUGUCCCUUUUUGACGCCCUGGAAACAAACCUGCAGGAACACCAAAGCGCAUCCUUAAGCGGAAAAAAGUGGAAGGAAUCCUUAGUAAGUUUUCCCAAACAGAGGGUGUUUUCAGGCCAAAAUUGGGUCACAAUAAUGAAAUAGAAGUUCAAUAUGAGAAAUGUUGAUCCCUUUUCGAUUACAGCAGACUGGAAGCAUAACUGAAUGUUACAUCAUUACAAUUUGUUAUCCACUCCAAACUAGCGUUAUGAUGAGCAAUAUAGUCUGAUGUCCAUCAACUUGAAGUGUGGUUGUGUGUAUUAAUGGUUUUGCCUAAAUGAAGGCUUUAAAGGGCAAUAAAAAAGCAUUAAAUGAGGCAUUUAAAAAAGGGAAUAUGAUUGUAGGACAUGGCGGACAGUCAAUAUGUCAAACGGUAAAGGAAAAUGAACUUAAGAAGGUUACAGUCGUUUCUUUUUUGAACUGCAUACAAGAGGUAUUGUAAGGUGGGAACACGACAAAAGCACUGCUUCAAUCAAGCAAAAUGAAACAUCAACUUUUCCAUUCUUUGGUCACUGUAGGCGUGUAGUCCUUAACUGUGACACCAUGUCAGGAUAAUGGAGAAGCUGAGCCGACACGGAGUCGUUUAUUUCAAU